rnacentral:rRNA from 1 species
UACGGAGGGUGCGAGCGUUGUCCGGAAUCACUGGGCGUAAAGGGUGCGUAGGUGGUUAGGUAAGUCCGAUGUGAAAUCUCCAGGCUCAACCUGGAAAUGGCAUUGGAUACUAUUUAGCUUGAGGAGUGGAGGGGGGGACUGGAAUUCUCGGUGUAGCAGUGAAAUGCGUAGAUAUCGAGAGGAACACCAGUGGCGAAGGCGAGUCCCUGGACACUUCCUGACACUGAGGCACGAAAGCUAGGGGAGCAAACAGG